AUGUCAGGAAUCUUGUCUUUUCCAGCCCAUGCACACACCACACACACACCCACACAUAUACACACACAUCCCCACACACACCCCCAUACACAACUCCACACACCACACACACACACAAACACACCACAUGCACUGCACACACACACCCCAUACCACAACACACCACACAUAUACAUCACAACACACCACAACACACCUUACACACACGCCACACCACACACAACACACACACACAACACACCAUACACACACACGCCACACCACACACACACAACACACCAUACACACACACACGCCACACCACACACACAACACACCAUACACACACACGCCACACCACACACACAACAUACCACAUCACACACACCAUACACACAUCACACCACACCACACACACACACACCACAUCACAAACCACACACACACACCACACACCACACGAAUCACACAUACCAUGCCACUACACACACAGACCACACCACAAAACACCAACCACACCACACUCAUACACACUCCCAUACACACACACAACACACACAGCACACCACAACAAACCACACACACACCACCACACCGCAACACACCACAACCCACAUCACACUACACCACACCACACACAUCAUACAGACACCGCACCACACACACAUCACAUCACACACCACAACACAACACACACACACACACCAUACACACACAUACGCCACAUCACACAAACACCACACACACACCACACACCACACACACACACCACACACCACACACACACACACAGACACCACCACACACCACACACACACCACACCACAACACACCAUACACACCACACACACACAGACACCACACCUACUACACCUGACACGAUACAUCACACCACACACACACACACGCGCACACACCCCAUCACACAUGCACCGCACACCACGCCCUACACCACACACCCACACACCACACAUCACGCCACACACACACCAAACCACACAUCACACCACACGCACACCACACCACACCACACCACACAUCAUACCACACACACCACACACACACCCCACUACACGCCACACUAUAAACCACACCACACAACUGCACACACACCACACAUCACACCACACACCACACAUCACACACACCACACAUCAUACCACACACACAUCAUACCACACACACAUCAUACCACACACCACUCAUCACACACACACACCACACAUCACACCACACACACAUCGUACCACACACCACACAUCACACACACACUACACAUCACACCACACAUCAUACCACACCCCACACAUCACACACGCACCACACACACACACCACACCACACAUCAUACCACAAAUCACACCACACACACACCACACAUCACACCACACACCACACAUCACACACACACACCACCACACAUCACACCACACACACACACCACACACACACACCACACACAUCAUACCACACACAUCACAUGUCCCCUACCAAGUUUCCAUUUCAAUCUGUGACACCAUCCUCCUUUCAACCUCUUCACGUUGGAGUGCUGAACCAAGAAGGGUGGGGAUUCCUGUCUGUCCAUCAGCACCUCUUCAUUAUGGCUCAGCUCCUUAG
rnacentral:lncRNA from 1 species